rnacentral:rRNA from 1 species
UAUGGCCAUAUCACAUUGAAACACCAGUUUUCAUAUGAUGACCAUAGUUAAGCAACAUUGAGCCUGGUCAGUAUCUAGAUAGGUAAUCACUUGGGAAUACCAGGUGGUGUA